rnacentral:misc_RNA from 1 species
CCGAGCGAGGGCCCUCGGGCCCGACCUCCCACCCCUUUGUGAUUUGACCUCUGUUGCCUCGGGGGCGACCCGGCCGGUUUUCUCGGCCAGGGCCCUCGGUGGACCGUUAAACGCUGCAUCUGUGCGUCUGAGUCGGAUAUAAAUCAAUCA